AUACGGAGGGUGCGAGCGUUACUCGGAGUCACUGGGCGUAAAGCGUCCGUAGGCGGUCGGGUAAGUCGGGUGUGAAAGCCCCGGGCUCAACCUGGGAAGUGCACCCGAUACUGCUCGACUCGAGUGCGUGAGAGGAUGGCGGAAUUCCCGGUGUAGCGGUGAAAUGCGUAGAGAUCGGGAGGAACACCAGUGGCGAAGGCGGCCAUCUGGCCCGCAACUGACGCUGAGGGACGAAAGCGUGGGGAGCAAACAGAAGUAGAUACCCUAGUAGUCC
rnacentral:rRNA from 1 species